UCGGAAUUACUGGGCGUAAAGCGCAUGCAGGCGGCCUGUUAAGUCAGAUGUGAAAGCCCCGGGGCUUAACCUCGGAAUUGCAUUUGAAACUGGCAGGCUAGAGUCUUGUAGAGGGGGUAGAAUUUCAGGUGUAGCGGUGAAAAUGCGUAGAGAUCUGAAGGAAUACCAGUGGCGAAGGCGGCCCCCUGGACAAAGACUGACGCUCAGAUGCGAAAGCGUGGGGAGCAAACAGGAUUAGAUACCCCUUGUAG
rnacentral:rRNA from 1 species